rnacentral:rRNA from 1 species
GGGUUCGAUUCCGGAGAGGGAGCCUGAGAAACGGCUACCACAUCCAAGGAAGGCAGCAGGCGCGCAAAUUACCCAAUCCCGACACGGGGAGGUAGUGACAAUAAAUACUGAUACAGGGCUCUUUUGGGUCUUGUAAUUGGAAUGAGUACAAUUUAAAUCCCUUAACGAGGAACAAUUGGAGGGCAAGUCUGGUGCCAGCAGCCGCGGUAAUUCCAGCUCCAAUAGCGUAUAUUUAAGUUGUUGCAGUUAAAAAGCUCGUAGUUGGAUUUGUGGUUGGAGAGGUCCGCCGUUGCUAUGCUUCGUGUUGGAUCUUUCCGUCCAUCCUUGGGUGGAUCCUGUGUGGCAUUCAGUUGUCGUGCAGGGGAUGCCCAUCGUUUACUGUGAAAAAAUUAGAGUGUUCAAAGCAGGCUUACGCCUUGAAUAUAUUAGCAUGGAAUAAUAAGAUAGGACCUGGGUACUAUUUUGUUGGUUUGCGCACCGAGGUAAUGAUUAAUAGGGACAGUUGGGGGUAUUCGUAUUCCAUUGUCAGAGGUGAAAUUCUU